UACGGGGGGGGCAAGCGUUAUCCGGAUUCACUGGGUUUAAAGGGUGCGUAGGUGGGUUGGUAAGUCAGUGGUGAAAUCCCCGAGCUUAACUUGGGAACUGCCAUUGAUACUAUCAGUCUUGAAUAUUGUGGAGGUUAGCGGAAUAUGUCAUGUAGCGGUGAAAUGCUUAGAUAUGACAUAGAACACCAAUUGCGAAGGCAGCUGGCUACGCAUAUAUUGACACUGAGGCACGAAAGCGUGGGGAUCAAACAGG
rnacentral:rRNA from 1 species